UUGGAGGGCAAGUCUGGUGCCAGCAGCCGCGGUAAUUCCAGCUCCAAUAGCGUAUAUUAAAGUUGUUGCAGUUAAAAAGCUCGUAGUUGAAUUUCGGGAUUUAUCCGUCGGUCGGGCUUUUGGGUCUGUACUGGCGUGAUGGAUUCCUACCUUCUGAAUAACCGGCAUGUCAUUAAUUUGGUGCGCCGGGGAAGCAGGACUGUUACCUUGAAAAAAUUAGAGUGCUUAAAGCAGGCUUAUGCCUGAAUACAUUAGCAUGGAAUAAUGAAAUAGGACGGCAUGGUUCUAUUUUGUUGGUUUCUAGGAUCACCGUAAUGAUUAAUAGGGAUAGUUGGGGGCAUUAGUAUUCAAUUGUCAGAGGUGAAAUUCUUGGAUUUAUUGAAGACUAACUACUGCGAAAGCAUUUGCCAAGGAUGUUUUCAUUAAUCAAGAACGAAAGUUAGGGGAUCGAAGACGAUCAGAUACCGUCGUAGUCUUAACCAUAAACUAUGCCGACUAGGGAUCGGACGAUGUUAAUUUUUUAAUGACUCGUUCGGCGCCUUACGGGAAAC
rnacentral:rRNA from 1 species